rnacentral:rRNA from 1 species
UACGUAGGCAGCAAGCGUUGUUCGGAGUUACUGGGCGUAAAGGGUGCGUAGGCGGUUGUUUAAGUUUGGUGUGAAAUCUCCCGGCUCAACUGGGAGGGUGCGCCGAAUACUGAAUGACUAGAGUGCGGGAGAGGAGAGUGGAAUUCCUGGUGUAGCGGUGAAAUGCGUAGAUAUCAGGAGGAACACCGGUGGUGUAGACGGCUCUCUGGACCGUAACUGACGCUGAGGCACGAAAGCGUGGGGAGCGAACGGG